rnacentral:ncRNA from 1 species
AUAUCGUCGCAAUCAGACAUCCGGACGAGGCACACCGUACCCGGCCAGCGAAAAGACGGUGUGAA